rnacentral:tRNA from 1 species
GGUUCUAUGGUGUAAUGGUUAGCACUCUGGACUUUGAAUCCAGCGAUCCGAGUUCGAAUCUCGGUAGAACCU